rnacentral:rRNA from 1 species
AGUGAACGCUGACGGUAGGCCUAACACAUGCAAGUCGAACGGCAGCACAGUAAGAGCUUGCUCUUACGGGUGGCGAGUGGCGGACGGGUGAGGAAUACAUCGGAAUCUACUUUUUCGUGGGGGAUAACGUAGGGAAACUUACGCUAAUACCGCAUACGACCUACGGGUGAAAGCAGGGGAUCUUCGGACCUUGCGCGAUUGAAUGAGCCGAUGUCGGAUUAGCUAGUUGGCGGGGUAAAGGCCCACCAAGGCGACGAUCCGUAGCUGGUCUGAGAGGAUGAUCAGCCACACUGGAACUGAGACACGGUCCAGACUCCUACGGGAGGCAGCAGUGGGGAAUAUUGGACAAUGGGCGCAAGCCUGAUCCAGCCAUGCCGCGUGAGUGAUGAAGGCCUUCGGGUUGUAAAACCCUUUUGUUGGGAAAGAAAAGCAGCAGGUUAAUACCCCGCUGUUCUGACGGUACCCAAAGAGUAAGCACCGGCUAACUUCGUG